ensembl:lincRNA Gm26631 predicted gene, 26631
GGUCGCCAUGACCGGUCCCGCCCCGCUCCGCCAGUGGCCAGACCGGCGCGGGGAAGAACGAAUGACAAGACGUACACGCCUUUAGAAAGAUGGCGACGCGCAGGCGCGGGUUUCCCUUGACGCUUUCCGGCCGCCUGCUGCGGAGAGAGCAUCAAGGUUCCGCCCUACCCGUCAGGAACUGGCCAGCCCAGGUCUUGCCUUUCAGAAUUCUCUAAGAACAGGACAUCAGCAUGAGUCCCUGGGAUGAGUCAUCAAAAUAAUAUCUGGAGGAACAUGAAGAGUGUCUGGAGGAAACUAAAAAGCAACAGCAUGGGUUUAUUUUAAAAUAUUUUUUCUUCUUACUCCUCUUCCUCCUCCUCCUUUUCUUCCUCCUUUUUUUUUUUUUUUUUGAGACAGGGUUUCUCUGUGUAGCCCUGACUGUCUGGAAAUUGCUCUGUAGGCCAGGCUGGCCUCGAACUCAGAGGUCUACCUGCCUCUGCUUCCCAAGUACUGGGACUAAAAGUGUGUGCCAUCACCCCCUGGCCAAUUCUUUUUUUUUACUUACUUAUUUAUUUUAUGUAUAUGAGUACACUGUUGUUGUCUUCAGACACACCAGAAGAUCCCAUUACAGAUGGUUGUGAGCCACCAUAUGGUUGCUGAGAAUUGAACUCAGGACCUCUGGAAAAGCAAUCAGUGCUCUGAACUGCUAAGCCAUCUCACCAGUUCCCCAAUUCUAGUUCUUAACCAGGGUAUGAGAGGUCUUCUGGUAGGGGAAUCAAAUUUUAUUAAAGGUGAGAGUAAAACUAGACCAUAGUAGGUUUCAUGGUUGAACAAAUGUUGAACAUGCUGAUGUUCACGUUGAACAAGUUUGAUGUACAUCUUUAAAACAACAAAAAUCAAACUUACUAAAACUCCCAGCAGCAUCUACAUUUAACUUAAUACUGUUUUCCUGUUGGAGUAACACAGCUGUACUGCUGUCCCACAGACCUAUAGGCAGGAAGCAGUGAGAAGCUUGCUAGGAUUAUGGAGCUCCUGAAGUUAAAUAGGGCUGUUCCCUUAGUACUUUCAAGGAAGGAGUAAGCCCCUUUCUCUAGUCUUUAACCACAAUGCCUGCAAACCAAUCACAGCAAAGACAAAUACUCUGAUGUCUAAGCUAACAAGGUGCUGCCGAGAGCAGGCAGAGAAGAGCUGGCUGCUGCACAGCACUUUUCUCCACAUCACCUUGCUGACUGUCUUUAAGACUUUCUCUAUGUACCCCUGGCUGACCUCAAACUCAAGAGAUCCACCUGUCUCUCUCUGCCACCCAUGAGCUGGGACUAAGACUGUGCCCCCAUACCCAGAUCAGCCUCUGCUUCUCAAUGCAGACAACAUCACAAGACCUAAUUUCAGUUCAAACUCAUUUCCCUUUAUUAAAGUCCAAGUUACUAUUACAUGGUUUGAUACUCAAAGGAAAAUUUGUUCAAAUAAAACAUUUCCAGGCAACUGUUUCAAUCAAGUAGCAAUAGCAGUUAAGUCCUUAGGAAGCCCAUCUGCAGAGAGGGAGAGAAAAAAAAAGCACAGAAUUAGCCAGUAAAGUACUAAAAUGAAGACAUUUUAUUUAAAAUGACCUUUGGAACUACAGCCCCAGGAAACAGCCUCCACCCUGGAGCACUUCCUGCUUUAAUACUGCCUCCGUCGAUUUACAAGGGCCUGACUUUGUAGCCUCUUCAUCAUUUACACCACUGGUACUUAGCCUUUUUUUCCUAAUCAGAAAAGUUUAAAGCCAGGUAAUCCUAGCAGUCAGAACAACAUAGACAGGAUAGUAAUUUCAGAGCUGAUCAAGAUGGCUGAGCAGGUAAAGACACUUGCUGCAGAGCCAGACAACCUGAGAUGAAGCCCUCGGACUGACAUGAUAGGAAAAAACUGACUAGAAAAAAAUGUCUUCUGAAUUUCACACGGUUGCUGUGGCACAAACACACACAAAAAAACCACAGGACAGUGCUGCCAUCAGCCCACCACUCUUUGAACUGCUACUUACCGAAGGGAGUUUACACUUUGUCAAGGCCCAGCUCCUCUGGAGUGGAGAUUCCCAAUUCAUUUAAAGUUGGUCUAAGUUCCUGGAUGACAUAGGGGUAGAUUUCCUUAUGAGGUCCUGCUUUGUCCUGUUGGCAAUGAGAAGUCUGUUAACAAAUGAAACUGCAGGGCUGGGGUUAGACCUCAGUUGAUAGAAGCCCACCAGCUGUUCAGAAGGCCUUUCAGUUGGGCCUCAGAACCACAACCCAGGUGUGGACUCCUGUAAUUUAGUAGAGACAGCUCAAGUAUGAGAAGCUCAAGGUGGUGAUGACAGAAUUUUGAAAAGGUAAUUAAACAUGCCCAUCAGGCAUCAGAAGAAUUAAAUUAACACAAGGGAAGUUUCUUAACUUGCUUCCAAUUUAAAGGACUGACUUUAUCAACUACCAGUGCUGAGUGGACUGACAGCUCCAGAAUCCUUAAUUAUCUUAGUCAGUACAGAUAAAGUAUUGUCACUUUCCCCUUACAAACC